rnacentral:rRNA from 1 species
GUCGAACCUUGCAACCGUUAUUCGGAAUCACUGGGCUUAAAGGGUGCGUAGGCGGCGCGGAAAGUGGGGUGUGAAAGCCCUCGGCUCAACCGAGGAAUUGCGCUCCAAACUACCGUGCUUGAGUGAGACAGAGGUAAGCGGAACUUCGGGUGGAACGGUGAAAUGUGUUGAUAUCCGAAGGAACACCGGUGGCGAUAGCGGCUUACUGGGUCUCACCUGACGCUGCUGCACGAAAGCCAGGGUAGCAAACGGG